rnacentral:lncRNA from 1 species
CAGAGCGAGAUUCUUUCUGAAAAAAAAAAAAGAAAAAAAAAAAAAGAAGUUACAUGUAGAAUUCUUAACUCAGUACUUGGCUUAUUGUGUGUGUGUGUGUGUGUGUGUGUGUGUGUGUGUGUGUGUGUGUGUGUAUGUGUUGUUAGCCCAAUAGCUAAAAGGAAAGUAUCACUUUUAUUGGGCGAGUAGCUAUGAAAGCUAAGCCUUAAUGGUGUCUAAGCUAAGAAGCAAAGCUAACAGAAACAAAAGGAAUGGGGUGGGAGGAAAACCAGAAAAGAAAUGGAGGGAAAAUGCACAUAUCUAUUAAAGCAAUGAGAAGCAGCAAGCUAAUAAUAUAAGUAUUAAUGGUGGUGGUGGUGAUGAUUUCUACAUGUAUUGCUCUGUUCCAGGGUCUAAUUUAAGCAUUUUCCAUAGAUAAGCCAUUUUACCUUCACAGGUACUUUGGGGGUCAUGUGGCUACACUGUCCAUUGCCUCCCCAAAUAGUACUCUCCUCUUACUAACAUGACUCUGCCACUGUUCAGUUUGCAAUACACCCAAUGUACCACUCAGUGUUGGACUGAGAAUACCCUGAUAACCUUACUCCUCUCUGCUGGACACUUGUUUCCUAGCCUUCCCAGUGGCCAGCAAUGACCAUGUGACUUGAAUUCUGGCCAGUGAGAUGCAAGGGGAAGUAUGCUGGGAAGCAGGGACUCUGGGAAAACAUUUGCAUCUUCAGGAUCAGACAUGAGAGGAGAGCUUGUUGGUUCUCCCUUUUUCUUCCUGACUGUGGGCCAUCUGGUGAAGAGCCAGAAGGCACAUCUGAAAGACAGACCUGGGAUCUUUGAUGACAGCAUUAAGCUGUAGAAGAACCUUGAGAUUGUUGCCUCUGACUUCUUUUUGAGAAUAAUAAAUGUACUUAUAAUAUAAAUGACUGUUACUGUGCUUACUCUAGAUUGCAGUUGCAAGCAUUCCUAUUUGAUACCGGAAGGUGCUGUUGUCAUCUUUGUGUAUUUAUUUCUCCAUUGUUUACAGAUAAGGAAACUGAGGAAUGGAGAGACGAAAUGUCUUGUCCAUGGUCAUCACAGCUGCUACCACGGAAGCCCUAGUCUGGCAGGAAAGAAGAGUCAUUAGGCAUCAUCUGGCAACUUGGCUUGGAGAAGUCAGAUCAGUCACCAAGAGUCUGGUGGGGCUGCAGCAAUGGCUAGAAAGAACCAGUGACAUGAUUGCCAGAGUGGUCAGAGAAGACCUUUCUGAGGCCAUGGUAUUUAAGAUGAGACUUGAAGAGCAACAAGAAGCUAGACACACAAAGCAGAUAAUUUUUUAAUGGCCAUUUCUGGAGAGAAGUUUCCAAGGGAUGAAGUUAUUAUACAGUUUCCAAAUAUUCCUGAAGAGGUCUAAAGAAAAUGUAUUCUGAUUCCACCUUUUACCUGUUUUCCUUUUUUUUUUUCUCUCUCUCUCUUUUUGGAAUUUGUUAUUUGGAUAUAGGAUACACUAGGCUGGUGCUCCAAUUUUCUUAUAUUUUCUGUUUUCCUUGAAGUUUUAGGGGACUUUCUGAACUUUAUUUUUCAAAAUUCAGUUGAGUCUUUAUUGUUUUCCAAAUAUCAACAUUUCUUACCCAGACUAAUGAACUAGCCUACUCACUCAUCUUUCUGAUCCUAUUCCUCUAUAUUAUCCACCCCAAUCCCAAGUUAAUUCUUGUAUGGUCUUUUUGAAAGACUGCAUGAGGUUUUUUGUUUUUAUUUCUGCUUAAAUUAUUUGCUGAUUUAUUUGCACUUAGGAUACAGGCCUAAAUCCUUAGCUUUGCUGACAUCAUGAAAGAUGUGGGCCCUCCCUAGCACUCCAGUUUCAUCUUACAUCAUGCCACUCUUUGGUACUUUAUCCUUACUGUCCAGCUUCAUUUCCUAGAGUGUCCUGUGACCCUCUUGACUCAGAGCCUCUGCACGUGCUGUUCCCUGUGUUUGUCUCCUUUGUCCAGCUCUACCAACUUCCUUUAUCUCUCAGUGUUCAGGUGUCAUCUCAUCUCCAGCAUGAAUUAGAUGUCUUAUCUUGUGCUUCUCAUUGGGCUAUACUGUAAUGCUUAGCACAUUAGUCAGUUCCCUCAUUGCUAUAAAGAAAUACCUGAGGCUGGGUAAUUUAUAAAGAAAGGAGGUUUAAUUGGCUCACAGUUCUGCA